CCUAACUGUUUACCCUCUCAUCCUCUCACAGGAUAUUGUGACCCAUUUCACACUACAACAGCCAUUGAUAUCCUAAGUCUUGUUAUAUUAAUAUUUCUGGGACUUGUCCUUGGGAUAGGAUUGGCCACAGUAUCUCCUCCCAAUUAUAAUUUUACUUCCAGGUGUUUACUCUCAUUGACCUAUUACCUCAUAAUCUCAUUCUUUGCCAUUCUUAAUUACUGGAAACAAUAAUGGUUCCUCUCCUGCUCCUGUUUUCUCUCCUAAACCUUACCCAAGCCGAUAGAUCCCUGAUAUAUACCUUGACUCUCUCCCAGCCUAACUCAGCCCUCCUUCAGACCUAGGUAUGAUCUCCUAAAAUCACAUUCCAGGCCACCUUAUGCCAGUUCUUUGACCAAAUCAUCAAAUUCCUGCCACUCUUCAGACUGGCCCACAGCUGAUUUCUGCUGCCCUUUCCGUAUCUACCUAUACAGUUGCCCCCUGUGUUCUCCAUCUUAUUCAAUCCCAGGUCAGUCGCCUCUUCACUCAAGUCUCCUGACAGAUGGCCCACCAGCUGAUACUUCAGGCCAGAGACCCCAGUGAGACCACCGUGUUACAUGACAGCCAACCAACUAACCAUAGCUCUGAUCUUGGCUCAAUGAAGCCCAACCAACAAUCCAAUGAUAAUGCUGCUGCUGUCAACAAUUCCAUGUUCAUAAAGGACAACUCAGCCGGCCAACCUCCAUGCCUGCCCCCUAGGUUGAUUCAUCGCCCCAAUUCAGCAGGAAGUAGAUACAGAAGACAGACUCUCUGCCCCUUUUUCUGCCUGCCAUGGACAUGUUGGCUGUUGAUUGUCAUCCAAAAUCAAAGAGUGGGGAAUGUUAGGAAAUAGCACAUGUUAAAAUAUAACCCCCCCAGCCAUUUUAUAUCUUACUUCCGGGAUCUUUCCUGACUCUGAGUCCUUUCUCCCACCAAAAUUGUAAAGCGUGAAAUUCAAAAGACAACCUGGCUUGCGAUAGGAUAACAAAGACCACUUCUCCCAAGGAAGGAUCUUCCAUUGCUUGUCCUAUAAAUAUCCCAGUACUUCCUCUUCUUGCUCUCUCGCUCUCUCUGCUUUCCUGCCUUCCUCUCGCCUCCCUACAAUAAAGAUCUCCUGC
rnacentral:lncRNA from 1 species